CUCGGGGAGAUGGCGGGCGGAGGGUGGCCGCGGUUCCGAGUACCCGAAUGCCUACCCCAGGCUAGGCUUUGAAUCAGGCUCCUUGCCCUGGUGGGUUUGACCACCGCCCUCCUCGCGCCCUUUUCCGUGGGCGACCCUGGGGCGGAAGCUUGGGUUUCAAAUGCGAAACAUUCGUCUCCUGGAAUCAGAUCUGGCUUCCAGAGGAUAAGACUUUUCUUUCCUGAAAAAAAUCAGCGCCUGGAAGACACCCAAGGCCCAAGCCCUUCUGCCCCUCAGCCGUAUCUGCCCGUAAGUAGAAUGGUAUAUUCUUCACUGAACACAGGAACAACCAUAAAACCCCUUUGGUACAUGAAGCUUUGUGAUUCUAACUACAUUCUCAGUGUCUUCUGUCCAGUCACUUUGACUACACGCCUCAGGUCUCUAUGGAAACAGGCACUUGAAAUUUAUCCUAUUUUACCAUGCAGACUACUUGUGGGAAGAGAGCAGGACUUCUUUUUUUUUUUUUUUUUGCUUCCUGAUAAAACAAAGUCCUUUGGUGGAAGUGUGGGCAAGUAAUAAAUUGCAGAAGAUCAAGAUAGGAGGCAAGUAGACCAGGAACAUAUUGUCAUCUUUGGCAUUUGAGAAAUCCACGCACAAGGCUAGUGUGCAAGGACACCUGUAGAUUGAAUACAGAUUAUACAGAGACAGCAAUUUCCUUCGAAGCCUCUACACAUAUAAAUAUAUAGAUUUAUCUUCUGAAUUUGCACAAAAUGAGGUUUAUUAUGAAUUCUUUACACAUACACUUUACUUAUGUGUGUGUAAAAAUAUUUAAAUAUAUAAACGUGAUUUUACAAUUCUGACUAUAUACAGAUUUUAGAGUCAAGCGGACUGAAAAUUUGAAGUAUAGCUUGUUCUCAAUAUUUCUCUCGCUUUAUGUCUUAGACAUAACAUAAUUUUCAUGGCAUACUGGAACAACAAAGGUGAAGACUUCUGGAUAUUUAGCUUUUGUUAUUAAAAUACCAAAUGACUAAAAUAUCAUUUGACAUUAUGUGAUUUCAUUUUUUUAGAAGAAUAAAUGGCAGAGUCAUUUUUAUUCAUACUAUUUUUUCUUAAAAAUAAAAACACCAAAAUAUGCUAGCAUUGGUUUUAUAAAGAAAAUAAAGCAAACCAAAGCCCACAGUCACCACCUCAGUUUUAAGAUACACUGUAACUGCUCCGUCAGGUCCGCUGUGUGUAGUGCUCUGCCACCUGGUGGCCUCUUGUGAAACAUUCAGAUGUGCUGGGGCUUUCUGCUUCUCUUUCUUCCUAUACCCCCUCCUUUACAGAACUAAUGAAUUAUACUUCGAUUUGACCAUAUACCUGUUGUUGUGGCAAACGCUGGCUAGUUCAUGUGACUUGCCAAUUUGCUUUUGCCUCAUUUCAAAGCAUCAGUACAAAUUAGCUGCAAGAUUAACAGAAGGUUUGAAUAAGUUAUUGGCAAUUGUUAAGUAAAAUGAAAUGAGCUAGAAUUUCUUGAUUCUGCAGAGUGCUUUUCUCCAAAGAAUUGGGAACAAUUUAUUUGUCUUACCAUAUUCUGAAAAAUAGGUAGGGGUAGAUAUUAAGCCAUGAAAAGCUAAAGAACAAAGGAAUUCAUUAAAUGAAUAUAAGGAGAUGGCAUUUCCACGUGUUGAUGUGAACAUUGCUGCUAGUACAUCAUAGAAAUGAACUGGGUAGACAGUUUUAGAUGUCAUGUCUGUCAACACAUCUCAUGGAUGAUGUAAACUGCUAGAUCCAACCUUUGAAUAAUGAUCACUUAGGAACUGAUUAUUAUACCCUGAUGAAUCUUUCCAUAAUUAUUAAAAUAAAAAAACAACAACUUGCUGUCAUGAAUACAUCUAGGUUUCAGAAUGUAGUUUCUAAAUGCCAGGGAACUGGUUCUCUUUGGCUGGAAAUAUCACACACACACACACACACACACACACACACACACACGGGAAUAUUAUUCAGCCAUAAA